GAAGAGGUGGCUGAGUGGUUUAAGGUAACAGUUUGCUAAACUGUCAUACCUAUCAUAGGUAUCAUAGGUUCGAAUCCUAUCCUCUUCA
rnacentral:tRNA from 1 species